rnacentral:rRNA from 1 species
GUAAAAGCUGCCGCCUCCCCAAGUCACGUCCGCCCCGGCUCGCUCCUAUCGCUCCCUUCUCCCUCCAAUAAUUUCGCUUCCUUCAUUCACUUCUCCCGUCCUCCCGCAAAGCCCACCCCGCAGCAGAAAGGGAGGGAGCGCGGAGGAAUCUCCGUCUCCGCCUCCGCCUCCCCCUCCAUGCCCCCGCUCCCCGCCGGGCCCGGCCCAGAUCUCCCGCGCGGCGGCCGCUAGCCGAUCCGCCUAGCCCCGCUCGAUCCGAUGGGCGGGGAGGUGCCGGAGCCGCGGCGGCUCAGCCGCGCGCUCAGCUUCGGCUGCGGCGGCGUGCCCGACGAGGCGCUGCACCUCGUCAUGGGCUACGUCGACGCCCCGCGCGACCGGGAGGCCGCCUCGCUCGUCUGCCGCCGCUGGCACCGCAUCGACGCGCUCACCCGCAAGCACGUCACCGUCGCCUUCUGCUACGCCGCCGACCCGGCCCGCCUCCUCGCGCGCUUCCCGCGCCUCGAGUCGCUCGCCCUCAAGGGCAGGCCGCGCGCCGCCAUGUACGGCCUCAUCUCCGACGACUGGGGCGCCUACGCCGCGCCCUGGGUCGCCCGGCUCGCCGCGCCGCUCGAGUGCCUCAAGGCGCUCCACCUGCGACGCAUGACCGUCACCGACGAUGACGUCGCCGCGCUCAUCCGCUCCCGCGGCCACAUGCUGCAGGAGCUCAAGCUCGACAAGUGCUCCGGCUUCUCCACCGACGCGCUCCGCCUCGUCGCCCGCUCCUGCAGAUCCUUGAGAACAUUAUUUCUUGAAGAAUGUGUGAUUGCUGAUGAAGGUGGUGAAUGGCUUCAUGAACUUGCUGUCAACAAUUCUGUUCUUGUGACACUGAACUUCUACAUGACUGAGCUCAAAGUGGUGCCAGCUGAUCUGGAGCUUCUAGCAAAGAACUGCAAAUCAUUACUUUCUUUAAAGAUCAGUGAGUGUGACCUUUCAGACCUGAUUGGUUUUUUCGAAGCAGCCAAUGCAUUGCAAGAUUUUGCUGGAGGAUCGUUCAAUGAGGUAGGAGAGCUAACAAAGUAUGAAAAAGUCAAGUUUCCACCAAGAGUAUGCUUCUUGGGGCUUACGUUCAUGGGGAAAAAUGAGAUGCCUGUUAUCUUCCCUUUUUCUGCUUCAUUAAAGAAACUGGACUUGCAGUACACUUUCCUCACCACUGAGGAUCAUUGCCAGCUUAUCUCAAAAUGCCCGAACCUAUUUGUUCUCGAGGUGAGGAAUGUGAUAGGAGACAGAGGGCUAGAGGUUGUUGGUGAUACAUGCAAGAAGCUACGAAGACUUCGAAUUGAGCGAGGGGAUGAUGAUCCAGGUCUCCAAGAAGAGCAAGGAGGAGUUUCUCAGUUAGGCCUGACAGCGGUAGCUGUUGGUUGCCGUGACCUGGAGUACAUAGCUGCCUAUGUAUCUGAUAUCACCAACGGCGCUCUCGAAUCCAUCGGGACCUUCUGCAAAAAUCUCUACGACUUCCGGCUUGUCCUGCUCGACAGACAAAAGCAGGUAACCGAUCUGCCGCUCGACAACGGUGUUCGAGCUCUGUUAAGGAGCUGCACCAAGCUCCGGAGAUUUGCUCUCUACCUGAGACCUGGAGGGCUCUCAGACACAGGCCUCGACUACAUCGGGCAGUACAGCGGCAACAUCCAGUACAUGCUACUGGGCAACGUCGGCGAAUCGGACCACGGGUUGAUCCGCUUCGCAAUAGGAUGCACCAACCUGCGGAAGCUUGAGCUUCGGAGCUGCUGCUUCAGCGAGCAAGCCCUGUCCCUCGCGGUGCUCCACAUGCCCUCGCUCAGGUACAUAUGGGUGCAAGGCUACAAGGCCUCUCCAGCAGGCCUGGAGCUCCUCCUCAUGGCGAGGCGAUUCUGGAACAUCGAGUUCACGCCCCCCAGCCCCGAGGGCUUGUUCCGCAUGACGCUCGAAGGAGAACCCUGCGUGGACAAGCAGGCCCAGGUUCUUGCCUACUACUCCCUUGCCGGGCAGAGGCAGGACUGCCCUGACUGGGUGACCCCGUUGCAUCCAGCCGCAUGAAUGAUUGUAAAUACAUCUAGUUGUGUGUACGUACCUACUGUACCUUAUGUUGCCCUUGGGUCCCUUUGGCAAGAACCGUAUCUGAAUAUGGCAAUUUGUAUGGAUGUAGAUCAUUAGCUUAGCUGCUUUGGUGCCCUAAUAAGCUAGUAGUGCUGUAGCUGAGGUGUAGUACAAUAAGUUGCCGUUGUCGCUUGUACUACUAUGUAUGUAAUCCUGGGAAGUUGUAUGCUAAAGUUGCUCUGUGCUUUGAUCUUCUCUCUGAAAUCUUGAUCGGUUGCUGGUUUUGUCUCUGCUUAAAACCAC